UGAACGGUUAACACAUCUCCUCAGACUGUUGUAUGUGUGCCUCUGUCCCGGCUACUGCUUCUGACUAACCCAGUCUUUGCUUUGUGGACCCGGAGCCUCACCGUGCAUGAACUACGUGGGACCUGAGCACAGGACGCUCAGCUCUGGUUGGCGAGUCACUUACACCAACUUGCCUGGAUGCUUGAACCACUCUUGCUGCUCAGCACAGAAGCGAACAAGAAGAACAGCGGAGACUGCAGACUGACCAGCAAGCUAAAGGCUAAACGGAGGACAGACAGUCCCUUCCUGAGCUGAGGCUAAAGAAGGGUAAG
rnacentral:lncRNA from 1 species